rnacentral:lncRNA from 1 species
GAAAGAUCCACAGAGGAGGGCCCUUGAUGGGAGAGCUUAGUUAUGAAGCUUACGGAUAUUGAUCGUAUUACUCGACAAGAGCACCCAGCUGGUGGAUGUCCUCCUUUGUGAAAUGCCUGUUCAAGGCUUCUGCCUAUUUUCCUCUUCAGUUGUCUGCUUUUCAUGCUGGGGGCGGUUGGAAGAGGAGGAGUAGCGUAGGAGUUCUUUGUGUCAUUGGAUGAGUUCUCCGUCAGACCACUUGAUCUGGAGGAAGCCAGCUGCCAUAGCAUGAGGACAGUUAGUGGACUAUGAAGAGGCCCAGGUGGUUAGGAAGUGAGGACCUCUGCGAACAGCUGAAGAAGAACUGGCCUUUUGUCAACAGUUCCAUGCUGUUUUUGUACAACAGAAGCUAUAUAAGCACCUACUUACCAGCACAGUACCACAGAUGCUACAAGGGAGAUCCUUUACCAAACGCCACAGUAUCCAACAAAACUGAAGAUACACAUACCACCAGAAAGGUUAUCAGAAUCCUGCUCCUAGACAUGCAUGCAACAGAAAUAGGUGCACAUGUACAUCAAAAGACAUGUAUAUGGAUGUGGAGAAAAGGGAACCCUCCUACACUCUUGGUGGGAUUAUAAAUUGGUGCAGCCACUAUGGAAAACAGUAUGGAAGAUCUUCAAAAAAUUAAAAAUAGAACUGUUACCAGUUUUGAUUCCCUCUCAUGGGACUUAAACCCACAAUUAGAAGGGACCCAAGGAAGAACCCAG